rnacentral:rRNA from 1 species
CCUACGGGAGACAGCAGUGGGGGAUAUUGCACAAUGGGGGAAACCCUGAUGCAGCGACGCCGCGUGGGUGAAGAAGCGCCUCGGCGCGUAAAGCCCUGUCAGCAGGGAAGAAAAUGACGGUACCUGAAGAAGAAGCCCCGGCUAACUACGUGCCAGCAGCCGCGGUAAUACGUAGGGGGCAAGCGUUAUCCGGAUUUAAUGGGUGUAAAGGGGGCGCAGACGGCGAUGCAAGCCAGGAGUGAAAGCCCGGGGCACAACCCCGGGACUGCUCUUGGAACUGGGUGGCUGGAGGGCAGGAGGGGCAGGCGGAAUUCCUGGUGUAGCGGGGAAAUGCGUAGAUAUUAGGAGGAACACCGGUGGCGAAGGCGGCUUGCUGGACUGCAACUGACGUUGAGGCCCGAAGGCGUGGGGAGCAAACAGGAUUAGAUACCCCUGUAGUC